GGAAUUUUGGACAAUGGGCGAAAGCCCGAUCCAGCCAUGCCGCGUGCAGGAUGAAGGCCUUCGGGUUGUAAACUGCUUUUGUACGGAACGAAAAGACUCCUUCUAAUAAAGGGGGUCCAUGACGGUACCGUAAGAAUAAGCACCGGCUAACUACGUGCCAGCAGCCGCGGUAAUACGUAGGGUGCGAGCGUUAAUCGGAAUUACUGGGCGUAAAGCGUGCGCAGGCGGUUAUAUAAGACAGAUGUGAAAUCCCCGGGCUCAACCUGGGAACUGCAUUUGUGACUGUAUAGCUAGAGUACGGUAGAGGGGGAUGGAAUUCCGCGUGUAGCAGUGAAAUGCGUAGAUAUGCGGAGGAACACCGAUGGCGAAGGCAAUCCCCUGGACCUGUACUGACGCUCAUGCACGAAAGCGUGGGGAGCAAACAGGAUUAGAUACCCCAG
rnacentral:rRNA from 1 species